UGCAGUCGAACGCUUCUUUUCCCACCGGAGCUUGCUCCACCGGGAAAAGAGGAGUGGCGAACGGGUGAGUAACACGUGGGUAACCUGCCCAUCAGAAGGGGAUAACACUUGGAAACAGGUGCUAAUACCGUAUAACAAUCGAAACCGCAUGGUUUCGUUUUGAAAGGCGCUUUACGGUGCCGCUGAUGGAUGGACCCGCGGUGCAUUAGCUAGUUGGUGAGGUAACGGCUCACCAAGGCCACGAUGCAUAGCCGACCUGAGAGGGUGAUCGGCCACAUUGGGACUGAGACACGGCCCAAACUCCUACGGGAGGCAGCAGUAGGGAAUCUUCGGCAAUGGACGAAAGUCUGACCGAGCAACGCCGCGUGAGUGAAGAAGGUUUUCGGAUCGUAAAACUCUGUUGUUAGAGAAGAACAAGGGUGAGAGUAACUGUUCACCCCUUGACGGUAUCUAACCAGAAAGCCACGGCUAACUACGUGCCAGCAGCCGCGGUAAUACGUAGGUGGCAAGCGUUGUCCGGAUUUAUUGGGCGUAAAGCGAGCGCAGGCGGUUUCUUAAGUCUGAUGUGAAAGCCCCCGGCUCAACCGGGGAGGGUCAUUGGAAACUGGGAGACUUGAGUGCAGAAGAGGAGAGUGGAAUUCCAUGUGUAGCGGUGAAAUGCGUAGAUAUAUGGAGGAACACCAGUGGCGAAGGCGGCUCUCUGGUCUGUAACUGACGCUGAGGCUCGAAAGCGUGGGGAGCAAACAGGAUUAGAUACCCUGGUAGUCCACGCCGUAAACGAUGAGUGCUAAGUGUUGGAGGGUUUCCGCCCUUCAGUGCUGCAGCUAACGCAUUAAGCACUCCGCCUGGGGAGUACGACCGCAAGGUUGAAACUCAAAGGAAUUGACGGGGGCCCGCACAAGCGGUGGAGCAUGUGGUUUAAUUCGAAGCAACGCGAAGAACCUUACCAGGUCUUGACAUCCUUUGACCACUCUAGAGAUAGAGCUUCCCCUUCGGGGGCAAAGUGACAGGUGGUGCAUGGUUGUCGUCAGCUCGUGUCGUGAGAUGUUGGGUUAAGUCCCGCAACGAGCGCAACCCUUAUUGUUAGUUGCCAUCAUUUAGUUGGGCACUCUAGCAAGACUGCCGGUGACAAACCGGAGGAAGGUGGGGAUGACGUCAAAUCAUCAUGCCCCUUAUGACCUGGGCUACACACGUGCUACAAUGGGAAGUACAACGAGUCGCGAAGUCGCGAGGCUAAGCUAAUCUCUUAAAGCUUCUCUCAGUUCGGAUUGUAGGCUGCAACUCGCCUACAUGAAGCCGGWAUCGCUAGUAAUCGCGGAUCAGCACGCCGCGGUGAAUACGUUCCCGGGCCUUGUACACACCGCCCGUCACACCACGAGAGUUUGUAACACCCGAAGUCGGUGAGGUAACCUUUUUGGAGCCAGCCGCCUAAGGUGGGAUAGAUGAUUGGGGUGAAG
rnacentral:rRNA from 1 species